GUGCUCGCUUUGGCAGCACAUACACUAAAAUUGGAAUGAUACAGAUAAGAUUAGUAUGGCCCCUGCACAAGGAUGACACACAAAUUCGUGAAGCAUUCCAUAUUUUU
rnacentral:snRNA from 1 species